rnacentral:tRNA from 1 species
GCGCUCUUAGUUCAGUUCGGUAGAACGUGUGUCUCCAAAACCCAAUGUUGUAGGUUCAAAUCCUACAGAGCAUG